rnacentral:rRNA from 1 species
ACCCAUGUCUUUUGAGUACCUUCGUUUCCUCGGCGGGUCCGCCCGCCGAUUGGACACAUUUAAACCCUUUGUAGUUGCAAUCAGCGUCUGAAAAAACUUAAUAGUUACAACUUUCAACAACGGAUCUCUUGGUUCUGGCAUCGAUGAAGAACGCAGCGAAAUGCGAUAAGUAGUGUGAAUUGCAGAAUUCAGUGAAUCAUCGAAUCUUUGAACGCACAUUGCGCCCCUUGGUAUUCCAUGGGGCAUGCCUGUUCGAGCGUCAUUUGUACCUUCAAGCUUUGCUUGGUGUUGGGUGUUUGUCUCGCCUCUGCGCGCAGACUCGCCUCAAAACAAUUGGCAGCCGGCGUAUUGAUUUCGGAGCGCAGUACAUCUCGCGCUUUGCACUCAUAACGACGACGUCCAAAAAGUACAUUUUUUACACUCUUGACCUCGGAUCAGGUAGGGAUACCCGCUGAACUUAAGCAUAUCAAUAAGCGGA